rnacentral:lncRNA from 15 species
GCCAUCAAUGCAUAUCCCUGGCAAAGAUGUCAUGGAUGCAACACUCUUUCACUCUGUGGUUUUUAUUGUGCCCGCUGUGCUGCUCAUACUGGUGAUUGCUCUGGUUCUAGUUUAUAAAAACAAAUGUCACAAAGUGCGAGGAGAUGAAGCUGUCAUCAUGAACAGAAACAAAACCAAGGCAGCAGAGGCAGAGGACGUGAUCGAUCUCCCAGAUAUUUAUGAAAAUCAGGAAGUUGUUGUUGUGCACUCAGAGCACGGGACCUCCAAACCGCAGAAGACCUGUAAUGAUGUAGGUGAAGAUGAACAAGAUUCUGUGUACCAAAACUUCUCCACAACAGAUGAUAUCUACUGUAACCAAUGAAAUACACAUUAAAGCCAAGAGAUGAACAGCAUGCACAUCUGUGAUCAAACUUUCAAUCUUUUUUGUUUUGUCUCAAUUAACAGUAGUAAUAAUAUGAUUAUUUGCACAUAUUUGCAUUUACCUUUACACUCAUUCUGACUGCUUAUCAUUAGUUUUAUCUUGUAAGAAAUAUUUCAGCUAAAUAUAACAUAUAUAUAUAUAUAUAUAUAUAUAUAUAUAUAUAUAUAUGUGUGUGUGUGUGUACCUUUUUAAUACAAAUGAAUAAAUAAACAAAGAAGCUAACAACAGCCAGUCUUUACAGACCAUAGUCUUUAUUGAAAUAACACACUUUGUUUUGCAGUAUAUGAAUGGGAUAUAAAAACAACAUCGCCAUAUUUUCAGUGACUGUCAGUUCCAGAAAUGUGAUGAACUGAAAAAAAGUGGUGGGAAUUUACUAAGUAGGUUUUCUCAAGUAUUGUACUUAAGUACAAACUUUGAUAUACUUGUACUUACAAAAAGCAACAGUGUGUAACUUUUCCACCGUAAAAUAACAGCUUCAAAAUCAUUUUGAUGCUACACUGACUUGUAACAGGGUGAAUGGUCUGUUAUUCCCACUCUGUGCCUUCUACGUCUGUUCUUGCACUGUGUAACUUUGGAGUCCUGGUCGGGAGAAGUGUGUAACAUAUCACAGCAAUAAAGCCGCUUUCAGACUGCAGGCCAAAGUGGCCCAUAUUAAUUUUUUUGCUCAUAUGUGGCUGGGAUGUGAUUUUGUUGUACAGAUAAAGGUCCGAAUUUUUUGCAAUGUGAUCUCAAUGUGAACAAUGUGUUCUUUCAGCAGCAGGGGGAAAGGCUUCUGUUGUACCCUCACUGCACUGGUAGUUAAGUGAGCAUGAAGAGUGAGCUGGUAUUCAGAGCUAACUGAGUUAUCAUGAAGUAUAGCUUUCAGACUUUUCGUGUCGACACUGGAAACACAAGUAGUUGGCUCGGGCUUCAUAUACUCUAGAAGCACAUUCACGGUUGUUUCUGUGUGGU